rnacentral:rRNA from 1 species
GAUGAACGCUGGCGGCGUGCCUAAUACAUGCAAGUCGAGCGAACAGAUGAGGAGCUUGCUCCUCUGACGUUAGCGGCGGACGGGUGAGUAACACGUGGAUAACCUACCUAUAAGACUGGGAUAACUUCGGGAAACCGGAGCUAAUACCGGAUAAUAUAUUGAACCGCAUGGUUCAAUAGUGAAAGACGGUUUUGCUGUCACUUAUAGAUGGAUCCGCGCGGCAUUAGCUAGUUGGUAAGGUAACGGCUUACCAAGGCAACGAUGCGUAGCCGACCUGAGAGGGUGAUCGGCCACACUGGAGCUGAGACACGGUCCAGACUCCUACGGGAGGCAGCAGUAGGGAAUCUUCCGCAAUGGGCGAAAGCCUGACGGAGCAACGCCGCGUGAGUGAUGAAGGUCUUCGGAUCGUAAAACUCUGUUAUUAGGGAAGAACAAAUGUGUAAGUAACUGUGCACGUCUUGACGGUACCUAAUCAGAAAGCCACGGCUAACUACGUG